CCUAAAGUCUUGGAAGAAGGGGAGAAACGUAUGUAUGCUCUGAAGAAACCUGUCAUCACCACACCACUGGAUCCUCCAUCUCUACCUAUUUGGGAAGACCCUAAAAGCACUAAAUUAAACCAUCUUAUUUACUUCAAGAUCUAGAUUGUUUGCAAGAAAAAGCUGAAGAGACAGACUACUACAUGCCUUUUGGAAGUGUGAGCUAACUCCUUAGAAGCAGCCUGGAGGGAAAAAUAACAUUCAUUUUCACACUCAGGAA
rnacentral:lncRNA from 1 species